CGGCUUGCAGGUGCACCCCUGAUAAGAUCAAGGGGACCUCAGCACUGCAGGAGAGCGGGGCAGAGCUUCGUGAGCGAGCUGGCGGGAGAGCCAGCCUGCCUGUAAACAGCGCUGGGAGUGUAUUGACAUGGACAGAUAAUUGGUCCAUGAGGAUUCUUCUGACAGCAGCGAACAUAUCGUUCAGACGAGGAAAAACAGCAACAAAGAACCACCAAUAGCUCUUCAGCUAAGGACGGGAGUCCACGAGCCCCUCCCUUUUGGAUGUUAACCGGCUUGACCUUGGUCUUGUGCAUGCCAUACCAGC